CAACCCUCAAGCCCGCAGCGGCUUGGUGUUGGGGACCGGCUACAGCGCCUGCCUUGUAUAAUGCGGGCGCGCGCCGCCCCCGAAAUGAAUUGGCGGUCUCGUCGCGGCCUCCUCUGCGUAGUAGCAUAAACCUCGCAACAGGAGCGCGGCGCGGCCAAUGCCGUAAAACGCCCAACUUUUUCUCAAG
rnacentral:misc_RNA from 1 species